rnacentral:rRNA from 1 species
UACGGAGGAUGCAAGCGUUAUCCGGAAUGAUUGGGCGUAAAGCGUCCGCAGGUGGCUGUGUAAGUCUGCUGUCAAAGAGCAAAGCUCAACUUUGUAAAGGCAGUGGAAACUACACGGCUAGAGUGCGUUCGGGGCAGAGGGAAUUCCUGGUGUAGCGGUGAAAUGCGUAGAGAUCAGGAAGAACACCAGUGGCGAAGGCGGCUUUCUGGUCUGUUCUUGACGCUGAGGCGCGAAAGCUAGGGUAGCAAACGGG